rnacentral:rRNA from 1 species
UACGAAGGGUGCAAACGUUGCUCGGAAUUAUUGGGCGUAAAGCGCACGUAGGCGGCUUAGCAAGUCGGACGUGAAAGCCCUCGGCUCAACCAAGGAAGUGCUUUCGAAACUGCUGAGCUUGAGUAGUUAAGAGGAUCGCGGAAUUCCCGGUGUAGAGGUGAAAUUCGUAGAUAUCGGGAGGAACACCAGUGGCGAAGGCGGCGAUCUGGGAACAUACUGACGCUGAGGUGCGAAAGCGUGGGGAGCAAACAGG